rnacentral:rRNA from 1 species
UGCAGUCGAGCGGACAGAUGGGAGCUUGCUCCCUGAUGUUAGCGGCGGACGGGUGAGUAACACGUGGGUAACCUGCCUGUAAGACUGGGAUAACUCCGGGAAACCGGGGCUAAUACCGGAUGCUUGUUUGAACCGCAUGGUUCAAACAUAAAAGGUGGCUUCGGCUACCACUUACAGAUGGACCCGCGGCGCAUUAGCUAGUUGGUGAGGUAACGGCUCACCAAGGCAACGAUGCGUAGCCGACCUGAGAGGGUGAUCGGCCACACUGGGACUGAGACACGGCCCAGACUCCUACGGGAGGCAGCAGUAGGGAAUCUUCCGCAAUGGACGAAAGUCUGACGGAGCAACGCCGCGUGAGUGAUGAAGGUUUUCGGAUCGUAAAGCUCUGUUGUUAGGGAAGAACAAGUACCGUUCGAAUAGGGCGGUACCUUGACGGUACCUAACCAGAAAGCCACGGCUAACUACGUGCCAGCAGCCGCGGUAAUACGUAGGUGGCAAGCGUUGUCCGGAAUUAUUGGGCGUAAAGGGCUCGCAGGCGGUUCCUUAAGUCUGAUGUGAAAGCCCCCGGCUCAACCGGGGAGGGUCAUUGGAAACUGGGGAACUUGAGUGCAGAAGAGGAGAGUGGAAUUCCACGUGUAGCGGUGAAAUGCGUAGAGAUGUGGAGGAACACCAGUGGCGAAGGCGACUCUCUGGUCUGUAACUGACGCUGAGGAGCGAAAGCGUGGGGAGCGAACAGGAUUAGAUACCCUGGUAGUCCACGCCGUAAACGAUGAGUGCUAAGUGUUAGGGGGUUUCCGCCCCUUAGUGCUGCAGCUAACGCAUUAAGCACUCCGCCUGGGGAGUACGGUCGCAAGACUGAAACUCAAAGGAAUUGACGGGGGCCCGCACAAGCGGUGGAGCAUGUGGUUUAAUUCGAAGCAACGCGAAGAACCUUACCAGGUCUUGACAUCCUCUGACAAUCCUAGAGAUAGGACGUCCCCUUCGGGGGCAGAGUGACAGGUGGUGCAUGGUUGUCGUCAGCUCGUGUCGUGAGAUGUUGGGUUAAGUCCCGCAACGAGCGCAACCCUUGAUCUUAGUUGCCAGCAUUCAGUUGGGCACUCUAAGGUGACUGCCGGUGACAAACCGGAGGAAGGUGGGGAUGACGUCAAAUCAUCAUGCCCCUUAUGACCUGGGCUACACACGUGCUACAAUGGACAGAACAAAGGGCAGCGAAACCGCGAGGUUAAGCCAAUCCCACAAAUCUGUUCUCAGUUCGGAUCGCAGUCUGCAACUCGACUGCGUGAAGCNGGANUCGCUAGUAAUCGNNNAUCAGC